rnacentral:rRNA from 1 species
GCAGUCGAGGGGUUUUAUCUUCGGAUAGAGAGACCGGCGCACGGGUGCGUAACGCGUAUGCAAUCUACCUUUUGCAGAGGGAUAGCCCAGAGAAAUUUGGAUUAAUACCUCAUAGUAUAUAGAGUUGGCAUCAACACUAUAUUAAAGUCACAACGGCAAAAGAUGAGCAUGCGUCCCAUUAGCUAGUUGGUAAGGUAACGGCUUACCAAGGCUACGAUGGGUAGGGGUCCUGAGAGGGAGAUCCCCCACACUGGUACUGAGACACGGACCAGACUCCUACGGGAGGCAGCAGUGAGGAAUAUUGGACAAUGGGCGCAAGCCUGAUCCAGCCAUGCCGCGUGCAGGAUGACGGUCCUAUGGAUUGUAAACUGCUUUUGCACAGGAAGAAACAACAUUACGUGUAAUGUCUUGACGGUACUGUGAGAAUAAGGAUCGGCUAACUCCGUGCCAGCAGCCGCGGUAAUACGGAGGAUCCAAGCGUUAUCCGGAAUCAUUGGGUUUAAAGGGUCCGUAGGCGGUUUAGUAAGUCAGUGGUGAAAGCCCAUCGCUCAACGGUGGAACGGCCAUUGAUACUGCUAGACUUGAAUUAUUAGGAAGUAACUAGAAUAUGUAGUGUAGCGGUGAAAUGCUUAGAGAUUACAUGGAAUACCAACUGCGAAGGCAGGUUACUACUAAUGGAUUGACGCUGAUGGACGAAAGCGUGGGUAGCGAACAGGAUUAGAUACCCUGGUAGUCCACGCCGUAAACGAUGGAUACUAGCUGUUGGGAGCGAUCUCAGUGGCUAAGCGAAAGUGAUAAGUAUCCCACCCUGGGAGUACGUUCGCAAGAAUGAAACUCAAAGGAAUUGACGGGGGCCCGCACAAGCGGUGGAGCAUGUGGUUUAAUUCGAUGAUACGCGAGGAACCUUA